rnacentral:tRNA from 1 species
AGGUCAUCGGUGACGCCGGCACAUGGAUGGGUAUUGCCGGUGCCCAGCACGGGCAGGACACCCCGGUCGGCGCAAGGUUCGCCGCCCUGACAAACUA